rnacentral:rRNA from 1 species
AGCGUACACGGUGGAUGCCCUGGCAGUCAGAGGCGAUGAAGGACGUGCUAAUCUGCGAUAAGCGUCGGUGAGGUGAUAUGAACCGUUAUAACCGGCGAUUUCCGAAUGGGGAAACCCAGUGUGUAUGGGGAAACCCAGUGUGUUUCGACACACUAUCAUUAACUGAAUCCAUAGGUUAAUGAGGCGAACCGGGGGAACUGAAACAUCUAAGUACCCCGAGGAAAAGAAAUCAACCGAGAUUCCCCCAGUAGCGGCGAGCGAACGGGGAGGAGCCCAGAGCCUGAAUCAGUGUGUGUGUUAGUGGAAGCGUCUGGAAAGGCGUGCGAUACAGGGUGACAGCCCCGUACACAAAAAUGCACAUAUUGUGAGCUCGAUGAGUAGGGCGGGACACGUGGUAUCCUGUCUGAAUAUGGGGGGACCAUCCUCCAAGGCUAAAUACUCCUGACUGACCGAUAGUGAACCAGUACCGUGAGGGAAAGGCGAAAAGAACCCCGGCGAGGGGAGUGAAAAAGAACCUGAAACCGUGUACGUACAAGCAGUGGGAGCCUCUUAAUGGGGUGACUGCGUACCUUUUGUAUAAUGGGUCAGCGACUUAUAUUCUGUAGCAAGGUUAACCGAAUAGGGGAGCCGAAGGGAAACCGAGUCUUAACUGGGCGUUAAGUUGCAGGGUAUAGACCCGAAACCCGGUGAUCUAGCCAUGGGCAGGUUGAAGGUUGGGUAACACUAACUGGAGGACCGAACCGACUAAUGUUGAAAAAUUAGCGGAUGACUUGUGGCUGGGGGUGAAAGGCCAAUCAAACCGGGAGAUAGCUGGUUCUCCCCGAAAGCUAUUUAGGUAGCGCCUCGUGAAUUCAUCUCCGGGGGUAGAGCACUGUUUCGGCAAGGGGGUCAUCCCGACUUACCAACCCGAUGCAAACUGCGAAUACCGGAGAAUGUUAUCACGGGAGACACACGGCGGGUGCUAACGUCCGUCGUGAAGAGGGAAACAACCCAGACCGCCAGCUAAGGUCCCAAAGUCAUGGUUAAGUGGGAAACGAUGUGGGAAGGCCCAGACAGCCAGGAUGUUGGCUUAGAAGCAGCCAUCAUUUAAAGAAAGCGUAAUAGCUCACUGGUCGAGUCGGCCUGCGCGGAAGAUGUAACGGGGCUAAACCAUGCACCGAAGCUGCGGCAGCGACACUAUGUGUUGUUGGGUAGGGGAGCGUUCUGUAAGCCUGUGAAGGUGGCCUGUGAGGGUUGCUGGAGGUAUCAGAAGUGCGAAUGCUGACAUAAGUAACGAUAAAGCGGGUGAAAAGCCCGCUCGCCGGAAGACCAAGGGUUCCUGUCCAACGUUAAUCGGGGCAGGGUGAGUCGACCCCUAAGGCGAGGCCGAAAGGCGUAGUCGAUGGGAAACAGGUUAAUAUUCCUGUACUUGGUGUUACUGCGAAGGGGGGACGGAGAAGGCUAUGUUGGCCGGGCGACGGUUGUCCCGGUUUAAGCGUGUAGGCUGGUUUUCCAGGCAAAUCCGGAAAACCAAGGCUGAGGCGUGAUGACGAGGCACUACGGUGCUGAAGCGACAAAUGCCCUGCUUCCAGGAAAAGCCUCUAAGCAUCAGGUAACAUCAAAUCGUACCCCAAACCGACACAGGUGGUCAGGUAGAGAAUACCAAGGCGCUUGAGAGAACUCGGGUGAAGGAACUAGGCAAAAUGGUGCCGUAACUUCGGGAGAAGGCACGCUGAUAUGUAGGUGAAGCGACUUGCUCGUGGAGCUGAAAUCAGUCGAAGAUACCAGCUGGCUGCAACUGUUUAUUAAAAACACAGCACUGUGCAAACACGAAAGUGGACGUAUACGGUGUGACGCCUGCCCGGUGCCGGAAGGUUAAUUGAUGGGGUUAGCGGCAACGCGAAGCUCUUGAUCGAAGCCCCGGUAAACGGCGGCCGUAACUGAAGCCCCGGUAAACGGCGGCCGUAACUAUAACGGUCCUAAGGUAGCGAAAUUCCUUGUCGGGUAAGUUCCGACCUGCACGAAUGGCGUAAUGAUGGCCAGGCUGUCUCCACCCGAGACUCAGUGAAAUUGAACUCGCUGUGAAGAUGCAGUGUACCCGCGGCAAGACGGAAAGACCCCGUGAACCUUUACUAUAGCUUGACACUGAACAUUGAGCCUUGAUGUGUAGGAUAGGUGGGAGGCUUUGAAGUGUGGACGCCAGUCUGCAUGGAGCCGACCUUGAAAUACCACCCUUUAAUGUUUGAUGUUCUAACGUUGGCCCGUAAUCCGGGUUGCGGACAGUGUCUGGUGGGUAGUUUGACUGGGGCGGUCUCCUCCUAAAGAGUAACGGAGGAGCACGAAGGUUGGCUAAUCCUGGUCGGACAUCAGGAGGUUAGUGCAAUGGCAUAAGCCAGCUUGACUGCGAGCGUGACGGCGCGAGCAGGUGCGAAAGCAGGUCAUAGUGAUCCGGUGGUUCUGAAUGGAAGGGCCAUCGCUCAACGGAUAAAAGGUACUCCGGGGAUAACAGGCUGAUACCGCCCAAGAGUUCAUAUCGACGGCGGUGUUUGGCACCUCGAUGUCGGCUCAUCACAUCCUGGGGCUGAAGUAGGUCCCAAGGGUAUGGCUGUUCGCCAUUUAAAGUGGUACGCGAGCUGGGUUUAGAACGUCGUGAGACAGUUCGGUCCCUAUCUGCCGUGGGCGCUGGAGAACUGAGGGGGGCUGCUCCUAGUACGAGAGGACCGGAGUGGACGCAUCACUGGUGUUCGGGUUGUCAUGCCAAUGGCACUGCCCGGUAGCUAAAUGCGGAAGAGAUAAGUGCUGAAAGCAUCUAAGCACGAAACUUGCCCCGAGAUGAGUUCUCCCUGACCUUCU